rnacentral:rRNA from 1 species
GACGAACGCUGGCGGCGUGCUUAACACAUGCAAGUCGAACGGAAAGGCCCCUUUGGGGGUACUCGAGUGGCGAACGGGUGAGUAACACGUGAGUAACCUGCCCUUGACUUCGGGAUAACUUCAGGAAAAUGGGGCUAAUACCGGAUAGGAAUCCUUGCUGCAUGGUGGGGGUUGGAAAGCUUCGGCGGUUUUGGAUGGACUCGCGGCUUAUCAGCUUGUUGGUGGGGUAGUGGCUUACCAAGGCUUUGACGGGUAGCCGGCCUGAGAGGGCGACCGGCCACAUUGGGACUGAGAUACGGCCCAGACUCCUACGGGAGGCAGCAGUGGGGAAUAUUGCACAAUGGGCGGAAGCCUGAUGCAGCAACGCCGCGGGCGGGAUGACGGCCUUCGGGUUGUAAACCGCUUUCAGCAGGGGCGAAGCUUGUGGUGACGGUACCUGCAGAAGAAGCACCGGCUAACUACGUG